CUACACACAUGGUCAUUAACCCAUUGAAACCACACAUUAAGACCCUACAUGACAUGGUAGCUAUAGCUAACCCCACCUUUGAGGAUACCAUGGCAGUAGAAACUGGGUUUUCAGACACUAAUUUGUGGCUAGAGUGGAUGAGGUAUAAUGCGAACUCGCAUAAUAAGACUAACUGUUAUGGAUGUGGAGGAGCCAGACCCCAUCUGGGCACAGUACCUCUGAGCUUAC